rnacentral:rRNA from 1 species
AAGGCCCUCGGGUUGUAAACUGCUUUUGUACGGAACGAAAAGCCUGGGGCUAAUAUCCCCGGGUCAUGACGGUACCGUAAGAAUAAGCACCGGCUAACUACGUGCCAGCAGCCGCGGUAAUACGUAGGGUGCAAGCGUUAAUCGGAAUUACUGGGCGUAAAGCGUGCGCAGGCGGUUUUGUAAGACAGUGGUGAAAUCCCCGGGCUCAACCUGGGAACUGCCAUUGUGACUGCAAGGCUAGAGUGCGGCAGAGGGGGAUGGAAUUCCGCGUGUAGCAGUGAAAUGCGUAGAUAUGCGGAGGAACACCGAUGGCGAAGGCAAUCCCCUGGGCCUGCACUGACGCUCAUGCACGAAAGCGUGGGGAGCAAACAGGAUUAGAU